ensembl:lncRNA
GUCCGAAGAAGUCGUGCUAUAGAUAUAGGUCAAACUAAUACAUAAUCAAAAGUUGACAGGCCAUACAAGGCAAGGCAAGGCCAGGCCAGGUCAGUGUAGUUCAGGCCAGGCAUGGCAAGGAUAGACCGGGCCAGGCCAGGCCAGGACAAGCAAGGCAAGGCCAGGACAGGCAAGGCAAGGCCAGGACAGGUAAGGCAUGGAGAGGAAAGGCCAGGCAAGUUUAGGCGAGGUAAGCAAAGGUCAGAUGAGGCUAGGUGAUGCCAGACCAGGCAAGGCAAGGCGAGUCCAGGCGAGACCAGAAAAGGCCAGGUGAAAGAAGGCAAAGCAAGGCAAGACCAGGCCAGGAAACAACAGGCCAGGCAGGCCAGGCGAGGCCAGGCAAGGCAAGGCCAGGCCAGGCCAGACCAGGCCAGGCAAGGCAAGGCAAGGCAAAGCAAGGCAAGGCAAGGCAAGGCCAGGCCAGGCAAGGAGGGAAAGGGAAAGGGAGAGGGAGAGGCAUGGAAUGGCAAGGCAAGUCCAGGCCAGGCCACGGAGGGCAGGCCAGAGCAGGGCAGGCCAGGUGAGACGAG